AAGUGGGCAAUACUGUAUCAAUAAACUAUCGUUCUUAAAAUAUAAAUACAUAUGGGUCGGCAAGGUCUCUGACAUACUAUACAAAAUAAGCCUUUGUCUACAAAGUAUCUAAGAUUAUUUGAUAUCAAAUGGGACAGGGUACCGACCUACCCAUAAGUCUGUAGCAAAUCUCUGACACGACGAGUCAUAGACUCGGUUGUGCUCUAAAUGAAGUGGAGUCUUACCGAUGCUUCGCUGAAUGUCAAUCUCGUCUACUAUGAGGACUCGUCAAACUGAUUGUCUAUACCUGCAGGCAUGAAUGCAGCGUCCCCAACAAAAGGACGUCAGUACGAAUAAUGUAUUGAGUAUGUAAGGCAUGUAAAUAAAUAUAUAAAGAGCAUAUGAGAAACAUGGAGUAGAGGACUCAACCUGUAAGUCUGGAUAACUCUGUAAAUCAUGAAAUAUUUAUAGUAUCACGCAUAUGCGUGUAAAUGUCAUGUAAUGCAUAGGUCUAUACGUACAUAACAUCAUAAAGCCUCUGAAGGCAUCCCAUCAUAUCAUUUCAGCCACUGUGGGCAACAUCAUCAUCGUAUACCAGCUAAUCAGAUGGUGGUGUGUAUAUAACGCCAUAACCUUUCCCAUAUCUCAUAUACAUAUAUAUACUUAUAUAUACGCGUAUAUAACGCCAUAACAUCAUCACGCCUCUGAGCGCAUCCCAUCAUAUUAUUUCGGCCACUAUGGGCAACAUCAUCAUCGUAUACCAGCUGAUCAGGUGGUGGUGCGUAUAUAAUGCCAUAACUUUUCCCAUAUCCCAUAUACAUAUAUAUACUUAUAUAUACGCGUAUAUAACGCCGUCUAGGUCAUGGAUAAAUGCACAUGUAAACGAAUACAAUGCAUGAGAAGUACGUUAAUAAAAUCUUUCAGAAUGUCAUAAGACCAUUAUGCCUUUGAAUAAUAUCAUGAUAAACUUUUUUUUUAACUUACGUAUUUUGUUGAGAUCCAUGAACAAAUGAUAUAAUAAUAUAACUCAUGGAGAAUUAAGAACAUAAGCAUCUCUAGAAUUACAAGUUUGAAUCAUCUUCGAAUUAAGCCUUAUAAUUGUUGUCCUUGGGCCUUAAGGAGGACUCAGAUGAAAACGAUUACGAGUAACAUACCCGAACAUGUACUACUAUAAAAACCAAAUUGUUUUGUCAAUUUUGAACAACUUCACCAAGGAAUGUUUUCUUCUUUUAUAUCAUUGUGAUAUUUCUUUGUAUUGUCAAGAUAAAGUCGCAUUAAUAAAGCUACAUCAUGGAACACGCAUUGCUAUUUACAAAAUCAAUUUUGAAGUGUUGGUUUAGAGAGUAAAACUUGUGAGUAGAUUUUUAUAAAAGGACCAAGACGAACAGGAAAUACUUUAUAAUUCUAAGAAUUUGGUUUUAUUUUCUCUGCUAUGCCAUUAUAUUAUAAGGAAUAAGCUUUAUUUUCUCUGCUUAUGACAUUAUCCAAUAUCUUGUUUAAGUCUAUACAAUAGAUUCAACGUAGGAAUAUCUCUUUUAGCAUUUUAUCUUUUUUAAAAAAAAAUAUUUUUCAAGCAAUCUUUUUCAUCACUAUCAAAACAUAUUCUAAAUUUUAGUAACCACUUUAAUUAGGGAAAAACAUAAGUGAGGGAAGUAUUUAACUCUUUUGAUAAAUAAAAAUAUAUUUUGUUGGCACUUGGUUACCAGGAAAUUACUCAUUCUCAAAAAAAAAAAAAUUUUUUCGAAAAUUAACAUUUCCUUCGUACCAAACUCACUCUACUACGUAAAAAUUAUAUUUCUGUGUGUAGAGUCAUUUAUGAAAAUUGUGUAUUUGCUUGUUUAGUUCGUGUUAUAUAGAUCAUGUCAAAAGAAAGGAAUGGAUAGCCUUAACAUACCUUAGCCGAUUCUUUAUCUUUUCUUAUAAAACCCGAGCUCUACCCCUUCACCAAAACUACCUCAUAGAAAUCCUCACUGCGUUGUUGCACCAGAUUUCAAGUAGCAAUUUUGCUUCAUAAUAAGUCUAUAGGUGAAUCACUCCACCAUGAUUAAUGGCCCUGCUCAUGCAUGAGGAACGUGUAUGAUAUAUACCUAAACAGGCAAGCAUAGGACUUUAAACUCUAGAUUUUAUCCCCCUCUUCCUUAUCAUCUCAACCUAUGUGGAUU
rnacentral:lncRNA from 1 species